rnacentral:misc_RNA from 1 species
CCCACAAGUGUCUUACGGCAAUGGGCUGAGGAGUUGGAUAAGAAGGUUAACAGUAAAGCUAAUCUUUCUGUUCUGGUAUACCAUGGAAGCAAUCGAACAAAGGAUCCUUGUGAGCUCACCAAGUAUGAUGUUGUUCUAACUACAUAUUCCAUUGUUAGCAUGGAGGUGCCAAAACAGCCUAUUGUUGAUGAUGAUGAUGAUGAGAAAGGAAAAGGAGAAGGAGAUGAUGUAGCAUCAUUGGGGCUUUCUUCUGGUAAGAAAAGAAAAUAUCCUCCCAGUUCUGGCAAGAAGGGGUCUAGGAAUGAGAAGGGAAUGGAUGCUGCAUUACUUGAGUCUGUUGCUCGACCUCUGGCAAAGGUGGCAUGGUUUAGGGUUGUUCUGGAUGAGGCCCAGAGCAUCAAGAAUCACAGAACUCAAGUAGCUAGGGCCUGUUGGGGUCUUCGUGCAAAGCGCAGGUGGUGCUUGUCUGGAACUCCUAUCCAGAAUGCAAUAGAUGAUCUUUAUAGCUACUU